rnacentral:rRNA from 2 species
ACGGGAGGCAGCAGUGGGGAAUAUUGCGCAAUGGGGGAAACCCUGACGCAGCAACGCCGCGUGAAGGAUGAAGGUCUUCGGAUUGUAAACUUCUUUGACGAGGGACGAAACAAAUGACGGUACCUCGAAAACAAGCUCCGGCUAACUACGUGCCAGCAGCCGCGGUAAUACGUAGGGAGCGAGCGUUGUCCGGAUUUACUGGGUGUAAAGGGCGUGUAGGCGGGAUCGCAAGUCAGAUGUGAAAUACCGGGGCUCAACCCCGGAGCUGCAUUUGAAACUGUGGUUCUUGAGUGAUGGAGAGGCAGGCGGAAUUCCUAGUGUAGCGGUGAAAUGCGUAGAUAUUAGGAGGAACACCAGUGGCGAAGGCGGCCUGCUGGACAUUAACUGACGCUGAGGCGCGAAAGCGUGGGGAGCAAACAGGAUUAGAUACCCUGGUA